rnacentral:rRNA from 1 species
AUUGAACGCUGGCGGCAGGCUUAACACAUGCAAGUCGAGCGGAGAUGAGGUGCUUGCACCUUAUCUUAGCGGCGGACGGGUGAGUAAUGCUUAGGAAUCUGCCUAUUAGUGGGGGACAACAUUCCGAAAGGAAUGCUAAUACCGCAUACGCCCUACGGGAGAAAGCAGGGGAUCUUCGGACCUUGCGCUAAUAGAUGAGCCUAAGUCGGAUUAGCUAGUUGGUGGGGUAAAGGCCUACCAAGGCGACGAUCUGUAGCGGGUCUGAGAGGAUGAUCCGCCGCACUGGGACUGAGACACGGCCCAGACUCCUACGGGAGGCAGCAGUGGGGAAUAUUGGACAAUGGGCGGAAGCCUGAUCCAGCCAUGCCGCGUGUGUGAAGAAGGCCUUAUGGUUGUAAAGCACUUUAAGCGAGGAGGAGGCUACUUUAGUUAAUACCUAGAGAUAGUGGACGUUACUCGCAGAAUAAGCACCGGCUAACUCUGUGCCAGCCGCCGCAGUAAGAC